UAAAAAAAAACCUCUUCAAACCGUCAGCAAAAUGACAAAGCUGGAGGUCAUCAACACGUUUCUGACGGAGCGCCUAAUGGCGGCGCUGAAUGAAAUCAUGGACAUGAUCGGCGGGACUGUCCUGCAGUAUGAGAAAGAGCUGGACAGCGUGCAAAAGGACAACGAGUAUCUGAGACGGAGACUCAAAGAGAUCGAGAAAAUCGUCGAGUCGACUGGUACAUCCAUCUCAAACCCUGCACCAUCAUCUCCACCUGCUCAUCUAAAGUGGACUUCUAGCACCGAAACAGAAACAGUUCCUACAGAGAUCUAUCAGAACCAGGUACAGAGCGAACAGCUCACCAACACAAAAGUAGAAGAGUUCUCCAGCCAUAUGCUUCUCGUGACCGAAUCGGAGAUUACUUUACCUGCUCCUGCAAUCCCAAACACACUAGCACAAACAAACGAAGACUUUGAAACGUGCGCUUUAGACAAAUAUCCUUGUGACGUUAAAACCGAGCCUCCUGAAAGUCUCCAUUCACCGUCCACAAACAUCUACAGUCCAUUACCACAUUGCACAUCUCAGCUACCAACUACUACUGAUAUCCUUCACGAGGCUAAUCCUGAAGUUUUUAACACAUCCAAUUCCACCGAUUCGGAAUUAGCUCAAUGUAGGAAUGUAAAGGCUAAAUCCACGCCAGAAUCCAUCAGUAAACACAGCCCAAAUGCAAGCAAGACCAUGUAUCCUGAGUCAGGCAUCAGCUACAACAACACUCAUCAAAACACAGACUCGGGAUCAGUCAGGAAUGACGCUGUUAGCAGUAACGGUCAUCUGGGGAU
ensembl:processed_transcript